CCUACGGGAGGCAGCAGUGGGGAAUAUUGGGCAAUGGGCGCAAGCCUGACCCAGCCACGCCGCGUGAAGGAAGACGGCUUUACGGUUGUAAACUUCUUUUAAGAGGGAAGAGAAGAAGACGGUACCUCUUGAUUAAGCCACGGCUAACUACGUGCCAGCAGCCGCGGUAAUACGUAGGUGGCAAGCGUUGUCCGGAUUUACUGGGUGUAAAGGGCGUGUAGCCGGGCUGACAAGUCAGAUGUGAAAUUCCGGGGCUCAACCGCGGACCUGCAUUUGAUACUGGUGGUCUUGAGUAUCGGAGAGGCAGGCGGAAUUCCUAGUGUAGCGGUGAAAUGCGUAGAUAUUAGGAGGAACUCCAGUGGCGAAGGCGGCCUGCUGGACGACAACUGACGGUGAUGCGCGAAAGUGUGGGGAGCAAACAGGAUUAGAUACCUUUGUAGUC
rnacentral:rRNA from 1 species